AUUCCAGCUCCAAUAGCGUAUAUUAAAGUUGUUGCAGUUAAAAAGCUCGUAGUUGGAUUUCUGGCAGGAGUGACUGACCACAAACUCUGUUUGUGAGUUGUGUCAUUCUGGCCAUCCUUGGUAAGAUCCUUUUUGGCAUUAAGUUGUCGGGAAGGGGAUGACCAUCGUUUACUGUGAAAAAAUUAGAGUGUUUAAAGCAGGCUUAUGCCGUUGAAUAUAUUAGCAUGGAAUAAUAAGAUAGGACUUUGAGUCUAUUUUGUUGGUUUGCGAGUCAAAGUAAUGAUUAAUAGGGACAGUUGGGGGUAUUCGUAUUUCAUUGUCAGAGGUGAAAUUCUUGGAUUUCUGAAAGACGAACUACUGCGAAAGCAUUUACCAAGGAUGUUUUCAUCA
rnacentral:rRNA from 1 species